GAACAGGAGGGGAGGGAGGGGGGAAAGGGGGGAGAAUCCAAUCCGGUUUUAGCUAGUUUGUGUUUCGAUGGGACGUUAACGUCUUCCUGCGCUGAAACCUGUGUGUCUUUUUAUCGAGCUAACUAAGCACUGUUGUUAGCUAUUUUUAGUCUCUUUGCCUUGCUUACUUUCCCCCUCUUCUUGUAUCUUAUUCCUGGUUUUAUUUUUUAUUUUUGUGUGUGUGUGUGUGUGUGUGUUUUAACACCUCAAAAGCAGCCAUGCCCAAAAGGAGCAAAGUAAGUACUUAUGUGUGAUACUUGGAAUUCUCUUUGAUCUGUCUUUUAAUCGGUGUAAAUGUGCAAAACGUGCCUUAUUGCAUUGCUUUUAAAACAUGCAUUCGAGAGUUAUAUCUCUGUUUUUGCUUUGCUCGCAUUAAGUUUGCAGUGUGCAUUCGUUUUUGUUGCACGUUUAAAAAGAAAAAAUAUAUAUAUACUUAUGUGUUUUGAUUUUGCCACGCGCUUCAUUUCGGUGUGCACGGACUUGGGUUUUCCUUCUUUAACGCGUUGCACGAGCGCGUGCAUUUCUGUUUCAGUUAAGUGCAUGAAGGUGGUUUUGUUUUUUCUGAAGCAGGUUAUUUUCAUGCUCACUGUUUACAAAUGGACGAAGUAGCCCUGGAUACAUGGAGCUAGACAAAGGGGUGUAACUGAGGCGAUCUCUACUUUUCACUUAUUCUUCCCUCUCCAUAACCUCAUAAGCUAAAUGCACGUUUAAAAUAAAUAAAUAAAAUUACAUGCAUUGUAGGUCGUUGUGCUUUUUCGAACGUAUACGAAUCGUUUUGUAUGUGUUUUGGGGUUUUAAAUGCAAAAAAAAAACUCGAUCCUUGUUUUGGAAAACGGUCUUGUAUGGAAAUGCUCCUCCAAGAAAAGCUCAAUGGUCUCUGGCGAACAAUGACACUGAAGCCAGUGAGCCCAAAAGGAGAUCGGCGAGAUUGGUAAACAAACCGGCACCUCCUAAGGCUGAGCCGAAGCCAAAGGCAAAGAAGGCACCUGCCAAACCCAAAAAGACUAAGGAGCCCAAGGAAGACAAGCCCAACGACGAGGAGAAGAAAGAGGAAGUCCCUGCUGAGAACGGCGAGGCAAAGGAUGACGAUGAGGCACCAGCAACAGAAGAGACGGAGAAGAAGGACGACGAAGCAGAAUAACGUCUUGUCUCGAACCAGUGCUCCCUGUACCUCUCUUCUUGUACAAUUCAGGGGAAUAUUUUUAUCUACUAUUUUCUAAAGGCAGUUUUUUUAGUAGUUUGAUUGUAGAGACACAUUUUUUAUGAAAGCUACAAUGCGUUUCGAGGGGGAUUUCAUCCCAUCCCACAUUUCUACAUCCAGAACAGUUAUUGUCUGUCAGUUCCUCUUUUCAAAGUGGGAAGGAGUUACGCCAUUGGUGCGCGCACACACAAACACAUUGCGCAUGGCGAUUACAAAGACAGUCGGACAACUUGCCCAAAUGACUAACAUUCCAUUGGCUCAAUGAGGGAUUUUUUUGUUGUUGUUGUUGUUGUUUGAAUGUGUGUAACCUGUUAUGUAUGCGUGCGUGGCGGGGAGGGGUGCGAAUCACUCAUCGUUUUCUUGUUUAUAAUGAGGCAGAUUACUUAGAACGUUUGUAAGCUGUGUACUGUAUGUUAAUUCUUGUACCGAUUCUGCUUAAUAAACCUACUUUGUAGUACUGGAGCUCUCCAUGUCAGGCCUGUGUAUCAUCACGUGUUUCGUUGUCUUUCCUGUGAUAGCACCACAAUAGAUCUAUAUAGCAGCUGUGAAACGAUCUUUGACUUUAUACGCAGCGUGUAAUGGUACCUUGUCCAGAUGUGGUCAAGACUGAAUCCUUGGCAAAGCUAAAAAUGCAUCGGCGUGUUAAAGCUUGGCCACCUUUUCAGGCCGGGUCUAAUGAUCGAGUGUAAGAUCUGGCAAAACUGUACAGCACUAGUACCAGCAGUAGCAAUAUACAUGUGCAACUACAAAUGUACAGUUUCUUUCAGCUCAUUGUUUAUAGAUGUAUCUCUGUGUAUUGUUUGAUUAAAGCGAGCCAAUAAAAAUUGUUUGUGAGA
ensembl:lncRNA